GAUGAUUUUCUGGAUGAGGAUGAAGAAUUGACAGCAAAAAAAGAAGAUUAAUAACAUGAAAGUGGGUAAGAGGAGGAUUGAGAAAAGGGGCUCCAGGCGUGGUCCAAAAAAGCAGAGGAAAUCCAGGGUUUCAAAGAAGCCUUCAGGAAAGAAAGGAAGGAAACAAUCGUAGGUUGAGGAAGAAAGAAAGGUGUGAAUACGAUGAUGAAUAUGAUGUUGAUUUUAUAGAUGAUAGUGCAAUUGUAAGAGAAAAGAGCAGGGAAAAUUCAGAUGUGAGGAGGAGGAGAGACACUGUAUAUUCAGAUUCAGAUUUUAUGCCUUC
rnacentral:misc_RNA from 1 species